rnacentral:lncRNA from 1 species
CAGGAAUGGAACUGCUCAGGGUCUGGCACUGCUCAGGGCUCAGCACUGGCACGGGAAUGGCACUGCUCAGGGCUCAGCACUGGCACGGGUCUGGCACUUCCCAGGGUCUGGAACUGCUCAGGGCCCAGCACUGGCACGGGUCUGGCACUUCCCAGGGUCUGGAACUGCUCAGGGCUCAGCACUGGCACGGGUCUGGCAGAGCUCUUCAUGGAUAAUGUAGGAUUUUCCCAGAGUUUCUCCCAUCCAAAUCCUUCCUGUCCCUGUGCCCACAUCCCUCAUGGAUACUGUGGGAUUUUCCCGGGAUUUCUCCCAUCCCAGCAGCUCCUGUCCCUGUGCCCUCGUCCCUCAUGGAUACUGUGGGAUUUUCCCGGGAUUUCUCCCAUCCCAGCAGCUCCUGUCCCUGUNCAUCCCAGCAGCUCCUGUCCCUGUGCCCUCGUCCCUCAUGGAUACUGUGGGAUUUUCCCGGGAUUUCUCCCAUCCCAGCAGCUCCUGUCCCUGUGGCCACAUCCCUCAUGGAUACUGUGGCAUUUUCCCAGGAUUUCUCCCAUUCCAGCAGCUCCGGUCCCUGUGCCCUCGUCCCUCAUGGAUACUGUGGGAUUUUCCCGGGAUUUCUCCCACCCCAGCAGCUCCUGUCCCUGUCCCCUCGUCCCUCAUGGAUAAUGUGGGAUUUUCCCAGGAUUUCUCCCAUUCCAGCAGCUCCUGUCCCCAUCCCCUCGUCCCUCAUGGAUACUGUGGCAUUUUCCCAGGAUUUCUCCCACCCCAGCAGCUCCUGUCCCUGUGCCCUCGUCCCUCAUGGAUAAUGUGGGAUUUUCCCAGGAUUUCUCCCAUUCCAGCAGCUCCUGUCCCUGUGCCCUCGUCCCUCAUGGAUACUGUGGGAUUUUCCCGGGAUUUCUCCCACCCCAGCAGCUCCGGUCCCUGUUCCCUCGUCCCUCAUGGCUACUGUGGGAUUUUCCCAGCUCUGGCUCUUCUGGCAUCCCCUGGGCUGCAGCAGCACCUGCCUUGCUCAUCCUCACCUCCAGCGCGCAGCUUCCCCAGCACAGCCUCCAG